GUGUUGCAUGAAAGGAGAGAAGGUCAGCACUCCCCUUGACAAGGGUGGAAGAGGCCCUUGGGCCUAAUAACACGCAUACGGUUAAGGCAUUGCCACCUACUUCAUGGCAUCUAACCACUGUUAGGG
rnacentral:ncRNA from 1 species